rnacentral:misc_RNA from 1 species
GUAGGUGAACCUGCGGAAGGAUCAUUAUUGAAAUAAACCUGAUAAGUUGUUGCUGGUUCUCUAGGGAGCAAUGUGCACACUUGUCAUCUUUGUAUCUUCACCUGUGCACCUUUUGUAGACCUGAUUAUCUCUCUGAAUGCUUUAUAGCACUCAGGAUUGAGAAUUGGCUUCUUGUCUCUUCUUAUAUUUUCAGGUCUAUGUUUCUUCAUAUACCCUAAUGUAUGUUUAUAGAAUGUUAUUGAUGGGCCUCUGUGCCUAUAAUAAACAUUUACAACUUUCAGCAACGGAUCUCUUGGCUCUC